GACGAACGCUGGCGGCGUGCUUAACACAUGCAAGUCGAGCGGAGCGGCGAACGGGUGAGUAACGCGGGAGUAACUGGCCCCCUCCCUGGGGUAAGAGUUGGAUACGGCUGCUAAUACCGGAUAGUGGGGGAUGACUGGCGUCCUAUCGGCUUGUGGGUGGGGUAGUGGCCUACCAAGUCGACGCCGGGUAGCCGGCCUGGGAGGGCGACCGGCCACAUGGGGCUGAGGUAGGGCGCAAACUGCUACGGGAGGCAGCGGUGGGGAAUAUUGCGCAGUGGGGGAAACCGUGAUGCAGAAACGCCGCGUGCGUGAUGACGGCCUACGGGUUGUAAACCGCGUUCAGCCAUGACGCGGUAGUGGCAGAAGAAGCACCGGCUAACUACGUGCCAGCAGCCGCGGUAAUUC
rnacentral:rRNA from 1 species